rnacentral:lncRNA from 10 species
AACAGAGAUCCUCAGUAAGUGUGUCGGUCACCUCUUCGCGCGAGCAGGGAGAUCAGAUCGAGAGCAGGACCUCCUCGCCAGUGAUUUGGAAUGAUAAAUGGGGAAGAGAAGGGGGUGAAGUUACCUGGGCGCUCAGGUAGACUUUGAGGCACUCCUCGCACACGGCCUUCUUGCAGCAAGGCAGGGGCUUGAUGGGCUUGUCUUCCAGGCACACCCGGCACAUCAGCACCAUGAGGGGCACAUAGGGAUCCCCUACACCGCCCAGGCCAGAGUAGGGUGGAGCUCCCAACAGGCUGGGCAUGGAGAACGGCUCGGGCGCCAGGCAUGACUAAGAGAUAUCGUGAAAUUACAACUCAACAAUGAAUUACAGCACAGGCUUUUCACAACUAAGAGACUGUCCAUCAUGGUGCCAGUUUUUCUCAAAAUGGCAUGUGUGCAUGAAAUUCUACAGGCAUAUGGGGUCGUGAUCUGCUAAUCUCCAGUUAUUAUACAAAACUACAGAUACUUGAAAACAGAACCAAAUAAAAAUUCUAGCAGAAGAAGACAAUAUAUGAAAUUUAAUAAUUCAUUUCCUGGGAAUGACAGCAGAAAGGUGAUGACAGAGGAAAGAGCCAAUAAAAUUUGAAGACAGACUACUUUGAAAAGGGACUUUCCAGCUAUCAGUACACUAUCUCACAAUUACCCUUGAACCAGAAGACAAUGAAUGAUUUGCUAAACAGAUGGCAUAGUCUAUGACAUGCAUCAUAUGUGUGAGCAAUCACAGAAGACUCCUUCCUGUUGCCUUGUGAAGAAGGCUCCUGCUUCCCCUUCACCUUCUGCGCGAUUGUAAGUUUCCUGAGGCCUCCUAGCCAUGCUUCUUGUUCACUCUGCGGAACUGUCCUGAGCUGAAAAGAAUAUGAGAAAUCGGAUUUUACGACAUGGUUAUAGGCGGAAGGGAUUUGCCUUGUCUCAGAUGAGACUUUGGACUGUGGACUUUUGAGGUAAUCCUAGAAUGAGUUAAAACUUUGGGGGAUUGUUGGGAAGGCAUGAUUGUUUUUGAAAUGUAAGGACAUGAGAUUUGGGAGGGGCCAGAAGUGGAAUGAUAUAGUUUGGCUGUGUCCCCACCCAAAUCUCAUAUUGUAUUGCAGCUCUCAUAAUCCCCAUGUGUCAUGGGAGGAACCAGGUAGGAGGUAAUAGGAUCAAUGGGGCAGGUUUUUCCCAUGCUGUUCUUGUAAUAGUGAAUAAGUCUCAUGAGAUCUGACAGUUUUAGAAAGGGCAGUUCCCCCUGCACAUGCUCUCUUGCCUGCUCCCAUGUAAGACGUGCCUUUGCUCCUCCUUUGCCUUCUGCCAUGAUUGUGAG